UACGUAGGGUCCGAGCGUUAAUCGGAAUUACUGGGCGUAAAGCGUGCGCAGGCGGUUUUGUAAGUCUGACGUGAAAUCCCCGGGCUUAACCUGGGAAUUGCGUUGGAGACUGCAAGGCUGGAGUCUGGCAGAGGGGGGUAGAAUUCCACGUGUAGCAGUGAAAUGCGUAGAGAUGUGGAGGAACACCGAUGGCGAAGGCAGCCCCCUGGGUCAAGACUGACGCUCAUGCACGAAAGCGUGGGGAGCAAACAGG
rnacentral:rRNA from 1 species